rnacentral:ncRNA from 1 species
AUAAAGAUUAUGAAAAGGACGCGAUAAAUAAAUUAAAGUUUUUAGAGAGUCAAAGGUAGCUGAAAAUUUGAUAAACCAUAUUUAUUUAUUAUCACCUUGGAAUCGUUUAUACGAAAUAAUAGUAGUAUGAAUCGUAUGUCUUGCGUUAAAAGACGUUUGAGGGGAGAAUUCAACAGAAUUCUCAAGUUAGGUGGUACCGCGGAUAUAAAGCUAAUUCGUCCUAUAU